AAACAUACAAAAAACCAUCAAAAUGAGAGAGCUAAGCCCAAUUUCAUAGAUACUAUCUUAGUUCUCUCUAUAAAUACUAUCUAGUUCUCUAUCUUCCCACACAUCGAAACACUCACUCAAUCACCAAUUCCUUCUUCACUUCUAUCAACACAAAGAAAAGACUUGAAAAGUCCGAAGUGAUUUUAGAAUAAUGAGUGAUGUCACUUAUGAGUUUGAGGUAACCUCCAAGUCUCCUUAGCUAAUCUUUUCAAUGCCUUUGUUCUUGAAGGUGCCAAGGUUUACCCUAAGGUUGCCUGUCAUUCAAUUAAGAGUGUUGGCUCGAAGGUGAUGAUAAGCCUAGAAGUAUUGUAAAGAUCAACUUUGUUAAAGUUUGAUCGAAGGCAGACCUUUGGGGGACAAGCUCCAGAAAAUUAGCUAUGAGAACCAAUUUGUGGCUGCUGCAAGUGGAGGAAGUGUUUGCAAGAGCUCAAUCAAAUUUUACACCAUUAGCGACUAUACUCGAUCAAAUUUUACACCAUUAGCGACUAUGUAAUCACUGAAGAUGAAAUAAAGGCUCUCAUUCAAAGGAGUGAGGUAGUUUACAAGGCCAUUGAAGCUUACCUCUUGGUUAAUAUCGAUGCUUGCAACUAAGAUAUUAAUUUGUCUUUCCAUUGUUAUAUUAAUAAGAGUGGUGGUCUUCAGGAUUUGAUCAUCUUUAUUUUUGUUAUACUCAAAGAGUUUGAGUUGUAUUAUCUUUGAUAUAUAUAAUGAAAUAAAAUAAACAUACAAACUUAUAAAAAUAAUUGGGUUUUA